UACAGAGGGUGCAAGCGUUGUUCGGAAUUAUUGGGCGUAAAGCGCGUGUAGGCGGCUUGGCAAGUCGGGUGUGAAAUCCCUCAGCUCAACUGAGGAAGUGCGCCCGAAACUGCUUUGCUUGAGUGUCGAAGAGGAUGGCGGAAUUCCCCAAGUAGAGGUGAAAUUCGUAGAUAUGGGGAGGAACACCGGUGGCGAAGGCGGCCAUCUGGACGACAACUGACGCUGAGACGCGAAAGCGUGGGUAGCAAACAGG
rnacentral:rRNA from 1 species